rnacentral:rRNA from 1 species
UACGAGGGGGGCGAGCGUUGUUCGGAAUUAUUGGGCGUAAAGGGUGCGUAGGCGGCCUGACAAGUCUGAUGUGAAAUCCCUGGGCUCAACCCAGGGCCUGCAUCGGAAACUGUCGGGCUUGAGUAUGGGAGAGGUGAGUGGAAUUUCCGGUGUAGCGGUGAAAUGCGUAGAUAUCGGAAGGAACGCCGGUGGCGAAAGCGACGUGCUGGACCGCUUCUGACGCUGAGGCGCGAAAGCUAGGGGAGCAAACGGG